GUGCCGGGUUAUUAGUUAGGGUUGGAGGUGACGGACCGACCGACCGUCGGAUCGAAUCGAGGACGAGAAGAGACGAGAGAGGCCGGACGGCCAGCGGCUACCUUCGGGGCGAGGAGGAGGGGCACAGGUGGCGACGGAGGAGGAGGUGCAGGUAGUGGCAGCUACUGGUGUCGGUGCCGCGCCGGCCGCGGAGACAUAGUGGCAGGGCGCGGAGCGGAAGGCCGGCCUCGUAGCGGCACGCGAUGGACCGGCACCGGGAGCAGCGGCGCCAGAGCGACAAGCGCGUCGUGCUCCGGAGGUUCCCGAAGGCGUAGUUGCAGCAGGCCCCGCCACCGUGCCGGCCACGGCGGCCGGCCGCGAAGCUGGAGGAGAAGCAGCGGUUGCCGGCGCGGCUCGCGCACGAGGUGGCGCGGUCGGCGGCGCAGCUCCUGCGCGAGAAGGGCCUGGGGAGCAAGGGCGCCGCGGACCAGCGGGCGCAGUGGCACGCCAACUACCGGCCGCCGUUAGAGUGGCGGCUGCUGCGCUGGCAGCUGCGACAGUGCCUGCCCCUCAUGCAGUAGAGCGACUCGGGUGCGGAGGACAGCGGCAGGAGGCCUCCGCCGUCGCGGCCCCGGCGGCUGCGGCAGCGGCGGCGCCACGCGGCCCGGCACCGCGCGUACACCGACACCCUGCCGGCGCCGCGGCGCGGCCGCGCGCAGUGCCUCCGGUACCACCUCAUGGAGCGGUGGCGGCAGGGCCUGCUCAGCAGCAGCGGCCGCCUCCUCGUGCGCAGCCGCAGCUUGUGCGUCACGUAGAGCGGCGCCAAGGACUUCGUGGACCUCGCCGCCGCGCGGCCCAAGCACCGCGCCGACUUGUCCCGUUACUCCCUGGCCACCUCGCUGCGGCGCCACCUGCGGCGGGAGCCCCGCGGCCGUGCCGGGCAGACGCGGCCGAUGGAGCGCCGCCGCUGCCUUUGGCCGCCGGUUGCUGGCCACCAACCCAGGCCCCACCGCCAAACUCGGUCGUUCCUCAGCCUUGUCGCGUGCUUCCCACCAAACGCUCUCUAGCGUGUACGUGCGGUACGGACAGUGCACUGAGUCAGCCAGUCAGGGAACAUGCAUUUACAUUAACUAGGCGGUAAUAGCGAGUCACCAAUUAAUUCAUUACCCUAUUCUGCUCAGUCGCCAGCGAUGAGGAUGUUCACAUCAAAAGAAACAUUUAAGUGUCAUCAAAAAAUACAAACACACCACCUUAUAUACCGCUAGAGUUUAUUAACAUCUUGCGGGUUCUCUUUCGUUCUGCUGGCAAGAUAGCUAGUGAAACUAAAUACCCGACGGGAAGGAAAGUGCUAGUUUCAUCUUGUGGAGAAGCUGGCAAGCCGCACUUACCACUCGAUAGACUUUUGUUACCUGUUUUUUUUUUCCAUCUCGUAGAAAAGUUUGCAAAAGAUACCUUUUUCAUCCUAGAUUUACAAACGCUUUAAAAUGUGUAAGUUCAACGAAACAUCACAAGUUAGGAUCUCCUAACAAGAGUACUAAAAACACAAAAUAUAAGGUGUCUUUAAGGAUGUUCAAGGAUAAGGCCUUUUCCUUUUUUCUUAUGAAAGGCACGAGAGUUUAGAGAACGUUUCUAAAGAUUCUAAAACAUGUUUAAAUCGGAACAUCCUAACCUCACCUGUUAACGUACUGUAGAUUAGAUGAUAUCACAAAAUUAAAGGGUUUACUAUUCACGGUGUGCACACUAUGCUUCGUGAGACCGGGACUGUAAAAAAUGUUGACUUCAACGGUAGUCCUUUAUUUUUUGUUUGGGUUCAUAUUUGAUUUUGAACGGUAGGCUUUCCUUCAACGGUAUAAACUGUUAAUUUCAACGGUAGGAGCGCAGUGAUUUGAAACAGUAUUUUUUUACAAACCUUAACGGUAAACAAGUACGGUGUGCACACCGUGAAUAGUCCUAGGGAAAUUAAAGGAGGGGUUUUCAUGGCUGUGGUACCUAUCAUUAACAUGAGAAAGUAGAUCGAAAAAAAUCUUGAGAAAGUAGAUCGACUAUAUGAGAUAAAAGGGACGUCUUUUACAAUCUUAAUUGCCCGGAGUGGGUACAUGUUAAAAACUUUAGAGCUUAGGGGUACUUAUUUACCAUUCACCACCACGAUUUUAAGUCAGGGUAUACCAAUGACCUGCUUCACAAAGUGGUGAAAUAUAUCACCCAAGAGAAGUGGUGUGAUUCACUACACGAUUCUUCUCUUUCUCUUCUGGUAUGCACUCACGAUCGGAGCGGAUCGACCCUUGCCCGGCCCCAGCGCGCCCGCACGCUGAACGCACACUUACCAGACGGUUUUAGGCCAGGGACUGGAACGUCCCCGUGCUGUAGGAAAACGACAAAUUAAAAAACUACAGGACCGUCUGCUCAAUAAUAAAGAACAUUCCAUUCAUAUACCGAACCUUUGGUUCAGUCACACUCUUGCACCCAUAUGAUGGUGAUCGGCGCUGAUUUCUGUGUAGUUUUGUGGAUUCCAAAACGGAGUAGAGCGUUGAAUACGGCGGUGGAAUCAGAUGAGGUAGGGCUUGUAAUAGUAAUUGUUGCAACUAAAGCGUCGGCGACUACUUGUUAUUCAGGUGGUACUAGGCAAUUACACAACCGAACAUCAACAAUAAUGUACACGCUACAACAACACGUACAAAAAGACAAACAGAUUAUACAAUAUAACAACGUACGAUAAAUACAAGAUCAGUACUUAAUAAAUG
rnacentral:rRNA from 1 species